rnacentral:rRNA from 1 species
UACGGAGGGUGCGAGCGUUAUCCGGAUUCACUGGGUUUAAAGGGUGCGUAGGUGGGGAUGUAAGUCAGUGGUGAAAUCUCCGUGCUUAACACGGAAACUGCCAUUGAUACUAUGUUUCUUGAAUUUUCUGGAGGUCAGCGGAAUAUGUCAUGUAGCGGUGAAAUGCUUAGAUAUGAGAUAGAACACCAAUUGCGAAGGCAGCCGGCUGGGCCGCAACUGACGCUGAGGCACGAAAGCGUGGGGAGCGAACAGG